CCAGCUGAAGACGGUUAGAAGAAGCCUUAACAAGCUGCACCUGUUUAUCUUUGCUGAUUAGCAAGUGCCUGGCACCCAAGGUCAUCCUUGGCCUAUGCAGUUGGAAAACACCGUUGGGAGGGGGGCCUGAAGGCACGAAAAUGUGAGAAACAUCGAGAAGAAAGUUACAUCAGUCAAUUCCUGAUUGGUCAAUUAAUCUUGGACCGUUAGGAUCUUUUUCCCUUAAGUAUAGGGCUAGGGACCCACAGCCUUUGUUCUCUGUUCUCUGCCUAUGCUGACUGGCACCAGAGUUCCAAACCUUUUCUGCCUUAUGGUUCCUGGGGUUGCUUAUGGGAAGGCAACCUAUGUCUGGUUCCAUUGCUUUAUGUUGAACAUCCAUCUCUCUUAGGAGAGGUGCCACGCAACCAACUACCUCGUAUAUUGGAGAGUGCUGGAGAGUCAAGGGACUCAAUAUGCGGCCACAGCAUAGUGUUCUGGGCCAAGAGGAGGGCGUUGCAAGCCAGGCACAGAAUCCAAUUGGGGCUCAGCCAUUGCCCUUCAGUCCAGUGGUUGGGUAGAUGUGGUAUGCUGUGGAAAUGCCUCCUACCAACAAUUUUUGAUCCUUCAUUGGUGCAGCACCAUCCAGAGGUUCUGGAUGCACAUUUGGGAGGCAAUGACCUGGGAAUGUUGAAGAGGAAAGCCCUUAUCAUUCAGCCAAUCCAGCAGCAGGCAAAGCCUCUUUUCCUGCCCAACAGCUGAUGGGGACGGAAGGGGGAGCCAAGCAUACCAAAGAGCCAGGCAGCCAUCUCUCUCUCUCUCUGUGACCGCAGGCACUGGUGGCUGGAACCAUUCCCUCCCACAAUGACACAUCGACCACACCCUGGAUCCACUCAGUCAACCACCGUCAGCAAGUUUUAGUAAGCCAAGAAGGGCAAGGGUCAAGAGAACAUGUUGCUGGCUGCAUCGUCACAAGCACCUUGUCCACCUCAUCAGGCUGCAUCAACUUAAACUGAUCCCAAGAAGUUGCAGCAGAUGUUGGACUGGAUACCUCACUGGGGACUACAGUACAUGUGGAUGGGGCAUCAAGAUUACUAUGGAGGUGAGCAACUUUACCCUCAAAGUGCCUUGCAAACAAUUCACAGUGGGCCUUCGAAGUGUCUAAAACUCAAUUUCCUGGAGUUGAUGUCAACAGACCCCUGACAAUAUGGCAAAGUUCCACUGGAUGGCUACUUGAGGAUGUGAUGGAGGCAGAGAAGUGGGCCUUCUUCAUCGCCUCCACUGCCACACAGUAGGCACGGUUAUGAUGUUUUACUCAUGCCUGAUAAGCCUCACAGCACAACUUUCGCCACUUGCACUCUAGCCGUCAUCCAGCCUGUUUCAUUGCCCUUAGCUCACUGGUAUACCAAGGUGCAAGCCGGGCUCCACAAUGCUGGAGAAGGCAACAUUUUAACAACAUUUUUAACAUCUGUUGUAACACCUACACUUGCACUU